UACGAAGGGGGCGAGCGUUGUUCGGAAUCACUGGGCGUAAAGGGCGCGUAGGCGGCCGUUCAAGUCGGGGGUGAAAGCCUGUGGCUCAACCACAGAAUUGCCUUCGAUACUGGACGGCUCGAGACCGGAAGAGGUCAGUGGAACUGCGAGUGUAGAGGUGAAAUUCGUAGAUAUUCGCAAGAACACCAGUGGCGAAGGCGGCUGACUGGUCCGGUUCUGACGCUGAGGCGCGAAAGCGUGGGGAGCAAACAGG
rnacentral:rRNA from 1 species